GGUUAAUUCGAUGCAACGCGAAAACUUACCACCUUUGACAUGUACGGAAUCCUUUAGAGAUAGAGGAGUGCUCGAAAGAGAGCCGUAACACAGGUGCUGCAUGGCUGUCGUCAGCUCGUGUCGUGAGAUGUUGGGUUAAGUCCCGCAACGAGCGCAACCCUUGCCAUUAGUUGCUACAUUCAGUUGGGCACUCUAAUGAGACUGCCGGUGACAAGCCGGAGGAAGUGGGGAUGACGUCAAGUCCUCAUGGCCCUUAUAGGUGGGGCUACACACGUCAUACAAUGGCUGGUACAAAGGGUUGCCAACCCGCGAGGGGGAGCUAAUCCCAUAAAGCCAGUCGUAGUCCGGAUCGUAGUCUGCAACUCGACUACGUGAAGUCGGAAUCGCUAGUAAUCGUGGAUCAGAAUGUCACGGUGAAUACGUUCCCGGGUCUU
rnacentral:rRNA from 1 species